rnacentral:rRNA from 1 species
GACGAACGCUGGCGGCGUGCCUAAUACAUGCAAGUCGAGCGAAUGACGAGAAGCUUGCUUCUCUGAUUUAGCGGCGGACGGGUGAGUAACACGUGGGCAACCUGCCCUACAGAUUGGGAUAACUCAGGGAAACAUGGGCUAAUACCGGAUAAUCCUUCGAAUUACAUGUUUUGAAGUUGAAAGGCGCUUCGGCGCAACUGUAGGAUGGGACCUGGGUGCAUUGGCUAGUUGGUGGGGUAACGGCGUACCAAGGCAACGAUGCAUAGCCGACCUGGGAGGGUGAUCGGCCACAUUGGGACUGAGACACGGCCCAAACUCCUACGGGAGGCAGCAGUAGGGAAUAUUCGUCAAUGGGGGAAACCCUGAACGAGCGAUGUAGCGUGAGUGAUGAAGGUCCUUUGGAUUGUAAAACUCUGUUGUAUGGGAAGAACAGCUAGAUUAGGAAAUGAAUCUAGUCUGACGGUACCAUGCCAGAAAGCACCGGCAAACUAUGUGCCAGCAGCCGCAGUAA